UCAAAAUAAAAGUUUAUUUUUUACUGUGAAAAUGAUAUUUUUAAUUUGAAAGUAUUUUUCGUCUGUUUUUAAUGUAAAAUAAAAAGUGUUUUCUUUCAGUGUGAGUAUUUUAAAAGUGUCAAGCCGCCAAGCAAAACACCCGUAGCCAUCUGCCAAACAACAACAUUUUGAAAUCCGCACGCAGUAGGUUACAGACGGUACAGACAUCCUAUUUAAUGGAGAAUUAUUCUCAAUUAGAUUAAAUAUAAAUAUCCGGAAAAGUGGAUAAUUAAUGGAAGGUUGCCGCUGUGAAGCGAUGAAUUUAGCUCCAUCGGUCUGCGGAUUUUCCCCUGAGAUAAACAACUUCGCAUCGCAUUCUCUCAAACUGAAAACGUUGCUCUAGGCUACAGGCAACGGAAGAUCGUUCCAGUCAAUUGGAAUCACCUGUACAAUGAUAGAGCGAUGGAAAGCAUACAAUGAUAGAGCGAUGCAAAAGGACCGAGAGUGUGACGCGGGGGAACAACGCUGGCCAAAUUUCGGAUCUAUAAAAUACCAUCGAUACGGAAUCGACGUCAGUAUUGUUGCUGACGAAUAAUCAUGGUUCGAGAGUCAUCAGUGUUGGAUCGGAAGAUCACAGUUAUAGGGCUGUCGAGAGCAAAAGCACCUGGAAAAUCAACGUGUAGUUAAAUAACAUCCAUUAAUGUAUAAUAAAAUAUGUCUAUAAAA